UACGUAGGUUCCGAGCGUUGUCCGGAUUUAUUGGGCGUAAAGCGAGCGCAGGUGGUUUAUUAAGUCUGGUGUAAAAGGCAGUGGCUCAACCAUUGUAUGUAUUGGAAACUGGUAGACUUGAGUGCAGGAGAGGAGAGUGGAAUUCCAUGUGUAGCGGUGAAAUGCGUAGAUAUAUGGAGGAACACCGGUGGCGAAAGCGGCUCUCUGGCCUGUAACUGACACUGAGGCUCGAAAGCGUGGGGAGCAAACAGG
rnacentral:rRNA from 1 species